GUGCUCGCUUCAGCAGCACAUACACUGGAAAAUUGGAGCAAUGCAGGGAGGAUUAGCACAGCCCCUGUGCAAGGAUGACCUGCAAAUCUAUGAAGCUUCCAUAUUUAAA
ensembl:snRNA U6 U6 spliceosomal RNA